GAUGAACGCUGGCGGCGUGCCUAAUACAUGCCAGUCGAGCGAACAGACGAGGAGCUUGCUCCUCUGACGUUAGCGGCGGACGGGUGAGUAACACGUGGAUAAUCUACCUAUAAGACUGGGAUAACUUCGGGAAACCGGAGCUAAUACCGGAUAAUAUUUUGAACCGCAUGGUUCAAUAGUGAAAGACGGUUUUGCUGUCACUUAUAGAUGGAUCCGCGCCGCAUUAGCUAGUUGGUAAGGUAACGGCUUACCAAGGCAACGAUGCGUAGCCGACCGGAGAGGGUGAUCGGCCACACGGGAACUGAGACACGGUCCAGACUCCUACGGGAGGCAGCAGUAGGGAAUCUUCCGCAAUGGGCGAAAGCCUGACGGAGCAACGCCGCGUGAGUGAUGAAGGUCUUCGGAUCGUAAAACUCUGUUAUUGGGGAAGAACAAAUGUGUAAGUAACUGUGCACGUCUUGACGGUACCUAAUCAGAAAGCCACGGCUAACUACGUG
rnacentral:rRNA from 1 species